rnacentral:lncRNA from 1 species
GUGGUUCUAUCCCUUGAUUCAGAUUUAGGACUGAGGGAUUAUGUCCCACAAUUGUCCCAGUUUGAAAGUGGUUUGCAAGAGGCAUAACCAGUUGACAUAUUUGGCCUACUAACUUAUUCAUUAUUUCGUUCAAAGUGUUUAGUUGUUUAGCCAUGUUGUCAUAAUGUGCAUUCCCAUUUUGGAUAAAUCUUUCCAUAUUAUGAAUACUUCGAAGAUUUACCUGUUCAACGACAUCUUGUGUGAGUUCUCCAAGUAGUGCACGCAUAGUUCGAGGACUCAACUCUGUCAUUGGUUCAUAACGACUGUUAUUGCUCUGAUUCUGUCCAUCUGUUCGUGGAGAGGCAUGCUGUUCCUCAUAUCGCUAGAUCACAG